GACGGGCGAGUAAAGCGUGGGAAUCUGCCCUCAGGAGGGGGAUAACGGUUGGAAACGGCCGCUAAUACCCCAUAUGCCGAGAGGUGAAAUGAAUUUCGCCUGAGGAUGAGCCCGCGUCUGAUUAGCUAGUUGGUGAGGUAAGAGCUCACCAAGGCAUCGAUCAGUAGCUGGUCUGAGAGGAUGAUCAGCCACACUGGGACUGA
rnacentral:rRNA from 1 species